AGUAUUUGACGUCAGCCAGGCCAUGCGACAGUCAAAAUAGACAUUCAUGAGGAGUGCAGGAAAACAACCAAAGGGCAAACAGAGAGCGGUGAUGCCUCUGCACAAUGGAAAGGAUUAUACAAAGGACAGACCCAAAAACCUAAAGUAGGAAGAUGUGCAAUUUUGGAAAUUGUUUCACUGUUAAUUUCACUGGAAAUAUCUCACAUCAGACAGUGAUUUUGUUCAGUUGCCUCCCAUGUGUUUCACCAAACUGCCCAAUCUUGGCACAAUGCUGUGUAGCACAGAAUAAGACAUAGUUUAAACACGACCAUCUCCGCAUUUCCUACAGGUUCUGCCAGUGUAACGUUACACAGUCAACAGCACGUGUGAAACUGAAUCUCUCGUGCAAGAAGAGCUUAAGAGUAUGGUUACAUUCCUUUUGCAGAAGUGCUGAACACAGGCCAAAGAGUUUAUGUGGGACUUAGAAGUGCUGCACAGAUCUCAUUCUAGCACUUGGCACAGAAGAACAUUUUGUGGUGCAUGUGUAAGUGGUAAACAUCUGCAGCAUGUGCCUUCUGGUUUUAAUCCUCAAAGUUUACACAUAUGAAUAAAUUAGGUAGGUAGGCAAAGUAAUUACAAUGCCUGCAUGCUUUCUAUACCGGCCCUUUCAUUUGUAGUUCCCAUUUGUGGUUUACUGGUCUUAGGAGUCACUGCACAAGCAAGUCUGUUCUUGACUCAGCUGCCCACCAGCCUAUAAUGAAGCAGAUCUCCUUGUGACAGAAUGUGGUUUAUUUUUAUAAGUGCAUUACAAGUGCUAGGAAUAUAUUACUUUUAUCUUCACUUGAAUCAAGACCUAAAACCAAGGCCCUGACCAUCUGUGGUCAUUUAAGAUGUCAUUGUGUGUUUUUCAGGAGUAAGAACAUUAACUCAAAAAACUGGGAACCUGCCAGGAUACUAGGAUUAGUACCUUCUGCCUUCUGAAUUCCUCCGCAGUUUGAAGUGGAAAAGUUACUGCUGAAUUUCUUAACUAGAAACCGUUGUGACUGUUAAGUAAGGUUGCUGAUGACCUGGAAUUAUGUUCUGUGCUGUGCCUCUGAGAUAAUUACAUUUUAAAUGGUGAAAAAAAUGACUCACUUCUGAUUUACCUAGGUAUUAGCUACAUUAUUAAUCCUGCACAUUAGAGCAGACCAUGUGAUGGAGCCUACCAACACUGUACCUCAAGCAAAGGCCUUAGGCACUCACUGAACUCGGGCUGGGAGGACUGAACCCUGCACUGACACAGAGGAUGACUUUGAACAGGCUACUGUCCUGAAGACAUGGCACAAGUGGAAAGAACAAAGGCAACUUCAGGACGGGCAGUAUCUGUACGAGGUGCAAAGGGAGAAGUCAGUGCACUGCACAGCUCCUGCAUGGAUGAAGUCUUCUCUGAAUUCCAGACUUCUCUGCUCUGACAUCAGACCUGAUUUUGAUCCACCAGAGCAGCCGUGAGAGGAAUGUCGUAUGUGGAAGAAAUGCAGGACCCAACACUCUGAGGUGCAGCAGCGGAUCAGUAGGAGAAACCACUCAAAUACUCUCCACAAUACCUGGUGAGGGACAGUUAAAAAUACUUCUGGACACCAGACCACUACCAAUGACAUUGAGGAAAAAAGGUGAAAGGAGAUUUCAGGGAGGUUUAGAACAUGCCGAUCUGCAUCCCAUAAAGUGUACAUCCCUCAAAGACCAUGGCCAUGUGUAAGAUGCAAUGAAGAUAUGUGCAGACUGUCUACAGAACUCACCUGUAGCCCAGAAUUCUACAAGUGAGUGGUUGUUAAGGUGCUCCUGAAUUAACACUGUGAGAGGAAUUGAUAUAGAAACAUGCAAUCACUUUUAAUGCAUUGGACAAAAACAGCAACAGAGAAGAUUAUGCACAGACGGAGCAAGAAAUGUCUAGCCAUGCCUUCCGUGUCAAGGGACAACAUGGGGAUAACAACACGGAUUUUAGUUCACGUAUGAUCCUGCUCUAUCACUGCCAAAGAAUUGCUUCUACCACAGUUUUCCAGAAGAGAGACGGACUGUAGGUGAAACUCACCAUCCAUCAUCACAUCUGGAGUCUGGCAUAAUCUCUCUGUCUUGCUGUUUCUAUCUUGGCUUGGCAUUUACUUAGUACGCAAACCUUCAUUUAGCAGCUCACGGUAUAAUGUGAUAUUGCUCUUCAGUGUUUCAUUCACUCACACCACUCAACACCUUUAGUGGUAUAUAAUGUUUGUCAUACGCUCUACCUGCAGAGGCCUCUUUGUGGUCUUGAAGGGAAAAAAAAAAUGCAUACACUUCCUCAGUCUCACUUCCUUGCCUUUCAUAUUUUCAAUUUCUACCUCUGGACAAUGUAACAGCAAACUUUACUACUCCUUGUCCACUGUCUCCACUAUCUGGUUGCUACGGAGUACUUUUCUGACAGCAAAGCUUGCACCAAGAUGUUCCUCUUGUCACUGUUUGAACCCUUCACCUCCAACAGCCUGGCUAGUCUGUAGUGCUUGGACAGGACAUCUACCAGACUGAACUGUACUUGAUACUAUUCACUUCACUGACUGUACUGUCUUACUUUUAUUUUCUGAAUUGUGGUAGUGCGUAGAAACUCCAGUUAUAAAUCACAGCCCCUCUGAACUAGGGAUUCUGAACAGAUCAAAAUAGAGUUGUGCAUCUUUUUAAACCACUGAAAAUGCUGUAAAUGCAUAUUUGUCUCUGCAAUUCACGAGCACAAAUGUUCACAUUGACUAUUGGUCUGGAGCUGUCGACUGGAUAGUCUGAGGUAGAAUUACUCAUUUUUGUUUCUACGGUAUAUUUGUGGGCACACAAAUCACAAUCCUGGGAGGGCACAUUCCUGGCUCUGGUGAUAGCACCCUAAUUUCUGUGGGGGUUUUUCUGUACUCUUUCUGUCUGCCUCUCCAUAGAGUAUUUCUUUCUGUUCUACAGCAAUACUGCCUUGGCUACUCUAAUUCUGAAGUAAUGUGGAACAAGUUACUGCAUCAGGAAUUCACAGUCAUUUCUUAACUUACUUUAGAACUUAAAAGGAAG